CCUACGGGCGGCAGCAGUGAGGAAUCUUGGUCAAUGGGCGGGAGCCUGAACCAGCCAAGCCGCGUGAGGGAAGAAGGUACAGCGUAUCGUAAACCUCUUUUGUCAGGGAACAAAGGCGGGACUAGUCCCCGGAUGAGGGUACCUGAAGAAAAAGCAUCGGCUAACUCCGUGCCAGCCGCCGCGGUAAUACGGAGGAUGCGAGCGUUAUCCGUAUUUAUGGGGUUUAAAGGGUGCACAGGCGGCCUGUUAAGUCAGCGGUAAAAGCCCGGGGUUCAACCCCGGCGAGCCGUUGAUACUGGCGGGCUGGAGUUGGAGAGAGGUAAGCGGAAUGCGCGGUGUAGCGGUGAAAUGCGUAGAUAUCGCGCAGAACCCCGAUUGCGAAGGCAGCGUACCGGCUCCACACUGACGCUGAGGCACGAAAGCGUGGGUAGCGAACAGGAUUAGAUACCCGGGUAGUC
rnacentral:rRNA from 1 species